rnacentral:hammerhead_ribozyme from 1 species
GCUGACGAGUCCCAUAAUAGGACGAAACGGCCGUCC